GGGCACAUGGUGUAAUUGGUUAUCACGCCCGCUUAGCAUCAUCCGAUGAUGUCUGCGGGCGGUCCCCGGUUCAAUUCCGGGUGUGUCCA